rnacentral:rRNA from 1 species
UACCAGCUCUCCGAGUGGUGUGGAUGUUUAUUGGGCCUAAAGCAUCCGUAGCUGGCUGGACAAGUCCCCUGUUAAAUCCACCGAUUUAAUCGUUGGUGUGCGGGGGAUACUGUUCGGCUAGGGGACGGGAGAGGCAGACGGUAUUUUCGGGGUAGGGGUGAAAUCCUAUAAUCCCGGGAAGACCACCAGUGGCGAAGGCUGUCUGCUAGAACGCGCCCGACGGUGAGGGAUGAAAGCUGGGGGAGCGAACCGGAUUAGAUACCCGGGUAGUCCCAGCUGUAAACGAUGCAGGCUAGGUGUUUGGACGGCCACGUGCCGUUCUAGUGCCGCAGGGAAGCCGUUAAGCCUGCCGCCUGGGGAGUACGGCCGCAAGGCUGAAACUUAAGGAAUUGGCGGGGGAGUACCACAAGGGGUGAAGCUUGCGGUUU